GGCAGUGGUAGCUUAGUGGUUAGAUGUUGGGCUACUAAUUGGAAGGUCACAAGUUCAAUCCCAGGCACCGCCA